AGCUUGCUCUUUUGACGUUAGCGGCGGACGGGUGAGUAACACGUGGGUAACCUGCCCUUUAGACUGGGAUAACUCCGGGAAACCGGGGCUAAUACCGAAUAAUCUUUUUAACCUCAUGGUGCAAAAUUGAAAGACGGCUUCGGCUGUCACUUAUGGAUGGACCCGCGUCGCAUUAGCUAGUUGGUGAGGUAACGGCUCACCAAGGCAACGAUGCGUAGCCGACCUGAG
rnacentral:rRNA from 1 species